GAGAACCAGGCCACACACACCGUCUCCACGAUGAAGAUGUUGUAGCACAUCUGAGAGCAUUUACCCUGAAAAAGAAGAGUGGAAAGUUAGAAAACUUGGGAUUUUGAGCGUAGGGGCGGCAAUUUUAAUUAUUCCAGUGACUGAUCUGAGCCGAGCCAAUGGGUGUCUUAAUUCAAUCAGAGAAGGAGCUGGUUUAACUCUAAUUGCCACAAAUUAUUUCUGGAAAAAGAUGACCUCUCCUGAAGCAAAGCCUUUGCUUUGGUUGAGCAGAACGGUUCUGAACAGGGCUCUUGGAGCUUGAUGAAUUUCAGCAUGGUGCUUAUGGACAGGUUGAUGGCUGUUAUUGUGACGAACAGCACCGAAAGGCAGGCGAAGAUCUUCCCCGGCAGGCCGGAGUGAGGCUUCUCCACCAUGUCUCUUAGCUUUCCCAUCCAGCGGCCGAGGCAAG